rnacentral:lncRNA from 1 species
AUGCCUUUCUGCACCUCCUCUCUUCCCCUCCAUGCCUUUCUGUACCUCCUCUCUCCCUCUCCAUGCCUUUCUGCACCUCCUCUCUCCCUCUCCAUGCCUUUCUGCACCUCCUCCCUCCCUCUCCAUGUUUUUCUGCACCUCCUCUCUCCCUCUCCAUGCCUUUCUGCACCUCCUCUCUCCCGCUCCAUGCCUUUCUGCACCUCCUCUCUCCCGCUCCAUGCCUUUCUGCACCUCUCUCCCGCUCCAUGCCUUUCUGUACCUCCUCUCUCCCUCUCCAUGCCUUUCUGCACCUCUCUCCCGCUCCAUGCCUUUCUGUACCUCCUCUCUCCUGCUCCAUGCCUUUCUGCACCUCCUCUCUCCCGCUCCAUGCCUUUCUGCACCUCCUCUCUCCCUCUCCAUGCCUUUCUGCACCUCUCUCCCGCUCCAUGCCUUUCUGCACCUCCUCUCUCCCUCUCCAUGCCUUUCUGCACCUCCUCUCUCCCUCUCCAUGCCUUUCUGUACCUCCUCUCUCCCGCUCCAUGCCUUUCUGCACCUCCUCUCUCCCGCUCCAUGCCUUUCUGCACCUCCUCUCUCCCUCUCCAUGCCUUUCUGUACCUCCUCUCUCCCGCUCCAUGCCUUUCUGCACCUCCUCUCUCCCGCUCCAUGCCUUUCUGCACCUCCUCUCUCCCGCUCCAUGCCUUUCUGCACCUCUCUCCCGCUCCAUGCCUUUCUGCACCUAUCUCCCUCUCCAUGCCUUUCUGCACCUCCACUCUCCCUCCCCAUGCCUUUCUGCACCUCCUCUCUCCCUCUCCAUGCCUUUCUGCACCUCCUCUCUCCCGCUCCAUGCCUUUCUGCACCUCCUCUCUCCCGCUCCAUGCCUUUCUGCACCUCUCUCCCUCCCCAUGCCUUUCUGCACCUCCUCUCUCCCUCCCCAUGCCUUUCUGCACCUCCUCUCUCCCUCUCCAUGCCUUUCUGCACCUCUCUCCCUCUCCAUGCCUUUCUGCACCUCCUCUCUCCCUCCCCAUGCCUUUCUGCACCUCCUCUCUCCCUCCCCAUGCCUUUAUGCACCUCCUCUCUCCCUCUCCAUGCCUUUCUGCACCUCUCUCCCUCUCCAUGCCUUUCUGCACCUCCUCUCUCCCGCUCCAUGCCUUUCUGUACCUCCUCUCUCCCUCUCCAUGCCUUUCUGCACCUCCUCUCUCCCUCUCCAUGCCUUUCUGCACCUCCUCUCUCCCUCUCCAUGCCUUUCUGCACCUCUCUCCCUCUCCAUGCCUUUCUGCACCUCCUCUCUCCCUCCCCAUGCCUUUCUGCACCUCCUCUCUCCCUCCGCAUGCCUUUAUGCACCUCCUCUCUCCCUCUCCAUGCCUUUCUGCACCUCUCUCCCUCUCCAUGCCUUUCUGCACCUCCACUCUCCCUCCCCAUGCCUUUCUGCACCUCCUCUCUCCCUCUCCAUGCCUUUCUGCACCUCCUCUCUCCCGCUCCAUGCCUUUCUGCACCUCCUCUCUCCCUCCCCAUGCCUUUCUGCACCUCUUCUCUCCCUCUCCAUGCCUUUCUGCACCUCCUCUCUCCCUCUCCAUGCCUUUCUGCACCUCUUUCCCUCUCCAUGCCUUUCUGCACCUCCUCUCUCCCUCUCCAUGCCUUUCUGCACCUCCUCUCUCCCUCUCCAUGCCUUUCUGCACCUCUCUCCCUCUCCAUGCCUUUCUGCACCUCUCUCCCUCUCCAUGCCUUUCUGCACCUCCACUCUCCCUCCCCAUAACUUUCUGCACCUCCUCUCUCCCUCUCCAUGCCUUUCUGCACCUCCUCUCUCCCUCCCCAUGCCUUUCUGCACCUCUCUCCCUCUCCAUGCCUUUCUGCACCUCCUCUCUCCCUCCCCAUGCCUUUCUGCACCUCCUCUCUCCCUCCCCAUGCCUUUAUGCACCUCCUCUCUCCCUCUCCAUGCCUUUCUGCACCUCUCUCCCUCUCCAUGCCUUUCUGCACCUCCUCUCUCCCUCUCCAUGCCUUGAUGCACCUCCUCCCUCCCUCUCCAUGCCUUUCUGCACCUCCUCUCUCCCUCUCCAUGCCUUUCUGCACCUCCUCCCUCCCUCUCCAUGCCUUUCUGCACCUCCUCUCUCCCGCUCCAUGCCUUUCUGCACCUCCUCUCUCCCUCCCCAUGCCUUUCUGCACCUCUUCUCUCCCUCUCCAUGCCUUUCUGCACCUCCUCUCUCCCUCUCCAUGCCUUUCUGCACCUCCUCUCUCCCUCCCCAUGCCUUUCUGCACCUCUUCUCUCCCUCUCCAUGCCAUUCUGCACCUCCUCUCUCCCUCUCCAUGCCUUUCUGCACCUCCUCUCUCCCGCUCCAUGAUUUCUUUGCUCACACCUCUUUCCAAACCCCACUCCCCUGCCAUUGUCUCCCUCUUCCUUCUGUCGCUCUUUGCCUCUCUCACUCUCCCCCCCAUCUCUCUCUAUAUCACUCACUCACUCCCUAUAUCGCUCUCUCCUCAUGCUGCCUCAGCACUCUUCUUUCUCCAGCCCCUCCCUAG